GCCGGUUUAGCUCAGAUGGCAGAGCGCCUGCCCUGUAAGCAGGAUGUCGUUGGUUCGAUGCCGACAACCGGCUCCA
rnacentral:tRNA from 1 species